rnacentral:tRNA from 1 species
CCCGCCUUAGCUCAGUGGCCAGAGCGUGCGGCUGUAGACCGCAUGGUCCCCGGUUCAAAUCCGGGAGGCGGGA